rnacentral:rRNA from 1 species
UACGGAGGGUGCAAGCGUUAUCCGGAUUCACUGGGUUUAAAGGGUGCGUAGGCGGAUUUGUAAGUCCGUGGUGAAAUCUCCGAGCUUAACUCGGAAACUGCCAUGGAUACUAUAAGUCUUGAAUGUUGUGGAGGUUUGCGGAAUAUGUCAUGUAGCGGUGAAAUGCUUAGAUAUGACAUAGAACACCAAUUGCGAAGGCAGCUUACUACGGAUAUAUUGACACUGAGGCACGAAAGCGUGGGGAUCAAACAGG